ensembl:lncRNA
CCCCCUCUCCUCCAACGGGCCGACCUAACACCCCCGCCCGGAGACUGGACUCCCGCGCACGCCUCCUCCAUCUCACACACACACACACACACACACACACACACACACACACACACACACACACACACAGUCACACACACACACACACACACACACACACACACACACACACACACACACACACACACGGUCACACACACACACACACACACACACACACACACACACACACACACACACACACAGUCACACACACACACACACACACACACACACACACACACACACACACACACACACACACACACACACACACACACACACGCCGCCCCUCCAUUUCCAGGCCACCAGCCCCACACCUUUUGUUUGUGUCGGUAAUACACAGAAGUGGAAGGUCAUACAAGCUGCACCUCAGAGGGCUCCUAACAAUAUGUCGUUAUCGUCGUCGUCGUCGUCGUUGUGGUUGUGUUUUGGUCUGGGAGAGCCCGCAUGUAAGUAAGAUGAGAAUGUGAUAUGUUUACGGUCUAACGAUCUGACGGGCACCCUUGAUCUGAUGACACAAUCAUAUUUGAUGUCUCAUGCGUGCAGAAGCAAUGAAAGACGGAUGUUUGUCCAGGCAGCAGCAUUUGCUACUAUUACUGUAUUCUAUUCGACUUUUAUUUCCCAAAUGUAAAGAGAGGCCAAGUGUGUGCACUGACCGCAGCCAAUCAGACCUAGCUUUCCGCAGUACGACAUUGUUGUUUUCAUUGAGAAGGUCAGCAUCGCAGAGCAUAAGGGCCGACUAUCCAAUAGGGUGGCUGGCUGUGAAGGAAUGAUAUAUAAUGAGAUAUAUAAUCAUCUUGCUAGCAUGCUGGUUUUUACUCCACACCAAAAAUAGAUAGACGUACCCAACAUACCUUUUAUGUAGGCGUUUAAGCCAGUGGAAAUGUGUUACUUUUCUUUUAGUUUUUUCUUAUUUAACAAUGCCAAAUACCUGAAACUGUAGCUUUCGUUUAAUGUUUUCUUUUUUUUGUGUUAUUUGUUUGUUGUUUCUGUUUGAUGAUCUAUUUAUUAAAUGUAUGGUUGUGUUUCUGGUUCAGAGUGUACCAGUCUGUUUUAGAACACUGAAACGUUGACCUACAUGUGCUGGCUGUGGUUGGUCUGUGAGUGUCUGGGCUCUGUCUGAGGUACGGAGUGUAUUCUCAGGUUAAAGGUUAAAGACGUAUUUGGAUACAAGGAAAGCACACCUGUGUAACACACACACACAUACCGCACACAGACACACAGACAAGAAGUGGCGGUUAUGUCCACCAAUCACACAUAAAACAUGGAAAAAUCAAAUGCUUUCAUACCGACCCCUCCCACCCCCAGAGCUGUUGUAAUAUUGUGACCUUUGAACCUGUAUUAGGUUGUGGCUUUACUUCUUGGUAAUAUGUAAACGUAACGAUAUAAAUGUAAACAGCAUAUAUAAACACUUUAUCUAUUUUUGGAAUAAAUCCACCGGUAUGGCGAGGCGGGCGUUUUGCUAGGCGUGUGAUAUGUGCGUGCUGUACCUUUGAAAUGAGGCAAUAACUGUAUCUGUAUUUUUAGGUUUUAAGUCCGCGCGUCCGGGUGAUCCGUCUCUGUCUCUUUCCACGCGCACUACCGGGGAGUGUAUGUGCGCAUUUAGAAACCACAGGAUCGGGAUGCGUACGGCUGUAGAGCCUUUAUAUUUUGGAGGCCCCUGUUUAUUGGUUUCGUUCUUCUUUUUAGAAGGCACUUUGAACAAGCACUUUCUGUUGCAUGGUCUUCUCAUGGGCUGGGGAAUGUCGACUGGAGCGGAGGACAUAUCGUCAGUGUCUGCUGUAGAUUAUUUUUGUAUGCUUUCAGGCAAAGUGUGUAGUAAAACUGUAUCAGUGAAGGUCAUUAUUUGUUUACUGAGGUUGCAGAGGAGAUUUAAAUGGGCUGUAUUUAACAUAUAUCUUGCAAGGAAUUUUAUUUUGCAAGAUUCCGGAUUGCCAGAAUGUGCAAUAGGGCUUGUACAUCAGAAUGCAUCAUGGGAAUUUUUGUUGGCAAUGCUCCAUUUAUAGAGGAAUCAAUGGUUUUGUAAUUAAGUGUAAAAUCCCUAAUCAACUUAAAUGUAACGUUACCUUGACUAAUCAAAACUAUGUGUGGCAGUUUCAAAUGACAAUGUCUCCCCAUAAUGACCUCUCAUUUCACGAUAAAUUAAUCAACACUGACCAAAAAAAACGUUCCUACUAAUGUAAUAAUUAACCUACUAAUGCUGCUAUGCUUCAAAAUGGAGGCGCUCUUUGUGAGGUGACGUUGCGAUGUACAAGCCCUAUAUAUAAAUUGGAAAAUAUGAUGGCUGCAUGGGGGAGGGAGGGAGUGUGGACUCCAGAUGAACGGAGCAGUUACAUGUGUGUCUGCAGCUCGUUCAAGGCAGCCUCUCUGUGGGUACUAUACAUACUUUUUUGCCAAGUCAAGAACUUAACCCUUACUUAACCCUUUCCUUCUAAAGCAGUUCUAGGAAAUCUGAAUA